rnacentral:rRNA from 1 species
GAUAAACGCUGGCGGCGUGCCUAAUGCAUGCAAGUCGAACGGGCUAGUUUAGGCUAGCCAGUGGCAGACGGGUGAGUAACGCGUGGGUGACCUGCCUCCGAGUGGGGGAUAACUACUCGAAAGGGUAGCUAAUACCGCGUACGCUCCGGCCUUCGUUGGUUGGAGGAAAGCCGCAAGGCGCUCGGAGAGGGGCCCGCGUCCGAUUAGCUAGCUGGUGGGGUAAUGGCCUACCAGGGCGAUGAUCGGUAGCUGGUCUGAGAGGACGAUCAGCCACACU